UAGGAAGUGGUGUAGUGGAAGCACCAGGAUUUUUGAUGUCCUCAGGUUGGGUUCGAGCCCCUUCUUUCUAA
rnacentral:tRNA from 1 species